AUUGAACGCUGGCGGCAGGCUUAACACAUGCAAGUCGAGCGGAGCGAGGGUGCUUGCACCUUAGCUUAGCGGCGGACGGGUGAGUAAUGCUUAGGAAUCUGCCUAUUAGUGGGGGACAACAUUCCGAAAGGAAUGCUAAUACCGCAUACGCCCUACGGGGGAAAGCAGGGGAUCUUCGGACCUUGCGCUAAUAGAUGAGCCUAAGUCGGAUUAGCUAGUUGGUGGGGUAAAGGCCUACCAAGGCGACGAGCUGUAGCGGGUCUGAGAGGAUGAUCCGCCACACUGGGACUGGAGCACGGCCCAGACUCCUACGGGAGGCAGCAGUGGGGAAUAUUGGACAAUGGGCGGAAGCCUGAUCCAGCCAUGCCGCGUGUGUGAAGAAGGCCUUUUGGUUGUAAAGCACUUUAAGCGAGGAGGAGGCUCUUAAGGUUAAUACCCUUGAUGAGUGGACGUUACUCGCAGAAUAAGCACCGGCUAACUCUGUGCCAGCCGCCGCAGUAAGAC
rnacentral:rRNA from 1 species